rnacentral:rRNA from 1 species
GCUAUACAUGCAGUCGAGCGAACAGAUAAGGAGCUUGCUCCUUUGACGUUAGCGGCGGACGGGUGAGUAACACGUGGGUAACCUACCUAUAAGACUGGGAUAACUUCGGGAAACCGGAGCUAAUACCGGAUAACAUUUGGAACCGCAUGGUUCUAAAGUGAAAGAUGGUUUUGCUAUCACUUAUAGAUGGACCCGCGCCGUAUUAGCUAGUUGGUAAGGUAACGGCUUACCAAGGCAACGAUACGUAGCCGACCUGAGAGGGUGAUCGGCCACACUGGAACUGAGACACGGUCCAGACUCCUACGGGAGGCAGCAGUAGGGAAUCUUCCGCAAUGGGCGAAAGCCUGACGGAGCAACGCCGCGUGAGUGAUGAAGGGUUUCGGCUCGUAAAACUCUGUUAUUAGGGAAGAACAAAUGUGUAAGUAACUGUGCACAUCUUGACGGUACCUAAUCAGAAAGCCACGGCUAACUACGUGCCAGCAGCCGCGGUAAUACGUAGGUGGCAAGCGUUAUCCGGAAUUAUUGGGCGUAAAGCGCGCGUAGGCGGUUUCUUAAGUCUGAUGUGAAAGCCCACGGCUCAACCGUGGAGGGUCAUUGGAAACUGGGAAACUUGAGUGCAGAAGAGGAAAGUGGAAUUCCAUGUGUAGCGGUGAAAUGCGCAGAGAUAUGGAGGAACACCAGUGGCGAAGGCGACUUUCUGGUCUGUAACUGACGCUGAUGUGCGAAAGCGUGGGGAUCAAACAGGAUUAGAUACCCUGGUAGUCCACGCCGUAAACGAUGAGUGCUAAGUGUUAGGGGGUUUCCGCCCCUUAGUGCUGCAGCUAACGCAUUAAGCACUCCGCCUGGGGAGUACGACCGCAAGGUUGAAACUCAAAGGAAUUGACGGGGACCCGCACAAGCGGUGGAGCAUGUGGUUUAAUUCGAAGCAACGCGAAGAACCUUACCAAAUCUUGACAUCCUUUGAAAACUCUAGAGAUAGAGCCUUCCCCUUCGGGGGACAAAGUGACAGGUGGUGCAUGGUUGUCGUCAGCUCGUGUCGUGAGAUGUUGGGUUAAGUCCCGCAACGAGCGCAACCCUUAAGCUUAGUUGCCAUCAUUAAGUUGGGCACUCUAGGUUGACUGCCGGUGACAAACCGGAGGAAGGUGGGGAUGACGUCAAAUCAUCAUGCCCCUUAUGAUUUGGGCUACACACGUGCUACAAUGGACAAUACAAAGGGCAGCUAAACCGCGAGGUCAUGCAAAUCCCAUAAAGUUGUUCUCAGUUCGGAUUGUAGUCUGCAACUCGACUACAUGAAGCUGGAAUCGCUAGUAAUCGUAGAUCAGCAUGCUACGGUGAAUACGUUCCCGGGUCUUGUACACACCGCCCGUCACACCACGAGAGUUUGUAACACCCGAAGCCGGUGGAGUA